rnacentral:rRNA from 1 species
AUGCUCGCAAGAGUGACUAGUAACUGAAAUCUAUUUUUUUUUGUUGUUAUAUUAAAAUAACAAAAAUAAGAUAAAGUAAAGGAAAAUAAUGAUAUUACUUUACUAUAGUGUUGUCAAAAAUUGGUGCCAGAAGACUCGGUAAGGCCAAAAACGCAAACGUUAGUCAUCUUUAUCAGGCGUAAAGGGUUUGUAGGCGGCCUUAAUAGAAAUUUAUUGUUAAUUUAUUUAUUUUUUGUUUCGUAGUUGUUAUAAAAAAAUACAAUAAUUCUCAAUAAUUUUACAAAAAUAAGUGCUAGAGUCAAUUAGAGGUUAUAUUAUAUAAUGUUAGAAGUGAGGGGUAAUAUCUUUAUAGAUUUAACAGAAUAUUAAGGGCGAAGGCUUUUUCUCCACUACGGAAAUAUAAAAUACUGACGCUGAGAAACGAAGGGGAGGAUAGGAAAUAGGAUUAGAUACCCAAAUUACCCCUCUCUGUCAACGAUGAAUGGUAAUUUCUAGUUAGUAUUAUAAUACAAUUAUUAGUUUUAAUGUUAACACGUUAACCAUUCCGCCUUGUGAGUACGAUUGCAAAAUUGAAAACAAAAAAAUUAGCCGGUUUCGGAGCCGAACGAAGUGAAGCAUGU